rnacentral:rRNA from 1 species
UACGUAGGGGGCGAGCGUUGUCCGGAUUUAUUGGGCGUAAAGAGCGUGUAGGCGGCCAGAUAAGUCCGCUGUGAAAUCUCGAGGCUCAACUUCGAGCUGUCGGUGGAAACUAUCUGGCUAGAGUCCGGAAGAGGAGAAUGGGAUUCCUGGUGUAGCGGUGAAAUGCGCAGAUAUCAGGAAGAACACCCGUGGCGAAGGCGGUUCUCUGGGACGGUACUGACGCUGAGACGCGAAAGCGUGGGGAGCGAACAGG